UAAUGCAAGAGCAGCAAGAUGGCUGAUCUAUGCUUGCAGCGGAUUUGAGAAGGUUUUGAACAACCACCACAGCAGCAGCCGCCCACACGGAGUAGAGCAGAGAGUUUAAAGCAGUAAAAGUUGUUCUUAAUUUC